ACAUUGGUGGUUUAGUGGUAGAAUUCUCACCUUCCACACGGGAUACCCGGGUUCAAUUCCCGGCCAAUGCA
rfam:Loxodonta africana unplaced genomic scaffold scaffold_38, whole genome shotgun sequence.